AGUCCUGGGGAGUGCUGUGGGGAACACAGUGACACAGUGUGCCACACUCUGUGCUGUGGUUCUCCUGAAGACUUGUCUGGUCUCUCUGUCUAGCUACUGGGAGUCUGAGCCCUGCUGAGGGCUUUUCUUUCUAGGGGAUCAACUGUGCUUCAAAAGGCAGGUUCUGUGAGGGGCAGCACUUGGCUUACGAGUUGUGUGCCCUUUAUUUCCAUUCCUGGGUGAAGAUUAGUAUUUCUGACAUGGCAGAGGAUACUCCUUUAGACUGAGGAAGCAAGAUGAAGAGCCAACUGUUUUCUGCAUCAAGUUUAAAGAUGUAAAUAAACCUUGUUGCUGAUUGAAAAAGAGAACAACUAUUAAGACUGUCCUCAAAAGGAGUCAGAUUACUGCCCAGUCUAAAGCAGCCUCGUGCUGACAAGCUCUGUCUGCUGAGGCGGCUCUGCAGGUGUCCGGGGGAAUGAAGACCUAUGGUCCCAGCAGGGGAGAGACUGUAUUGACUUCAGAUGUCUCCAGAAACGGGGAUGUCAUGGUUUGGACUGUAGUCUUCCCCGUGGAGGAACACACCGACUGAGAUCCAGGUCUACCGCGUCAGCCCCGCCCCGCUCCACCCUUCUGUGCUCGACCCCUGUAACGUCCUCCGCACCCAGGGCCACGCUGUUCUCUCUUCCAUGUUGGCCGUUCUGUUGGGACUUGGGGGAAAAAAAACAGUUGAA
rnacentral:lncRNA from 1 species